ACCCUUUCAGGAUCCCACCUGGAGAGUUUACAGUACUCUACCAGUUUCGACUAUGGGAGGGAGAGUCAAGCAGAGGCCUAACUAUUCCAUUCCUAGCUUGGCCAGUGGCUAGCGAGUAGAAUGCAAUCUGCUACAGGU